rnacentral:rRNA from 1 species
UACGGGGUGAGGGCAAGCGUUGUUCGGAUUUACUGGGCGUAAAGGGCGCGUAGGCGGUCAGCACAAGUCAGUUGUGAAAUCUCCGGGCUUAACUCGGAAAGGUCAACUGAUACUGUGCGACUAGAGUGCAGAAGGGACAACUGGAAUUCUCGGUGUAGCGGUGAAAUGCGUAGAUAUCGAGAGGAACACCUGCGGCGAAGGCGGGUUGCUGGGCUGACACUGACGCUGAUGCGCGAAAGCCAGGGGAGCGAACGGG